AGGUUACUGCUAUCGGUGUUCGCCUAAGCCAUGCGAGUCAUAUGUUCGUAAGAACAUGGCGUACUGCUCAGUAACACGUGGAUAACCUGCCCUUGGGUCCGGCAUAACCCCGGGAAACUGGGGAUAAUUCCGGAUAACGCACAUAUGCUGGAAUGCUUUAUGCGUAAAAUGGAUUCGUCUGCCCAAGGAUGGGUCUGCGGCCUAUCAGGUAGUAGUGGGUGUAAUGUACCUACUAGCCUACGACGGGUACGGGUUGUGAGAGCAAGAGCCCGGAGAUGGAUUCUGAGACAUGAAUCCAGGCCCUACGGGGCGCAGCAGGCGCGAAAACUUUACAAUGCGGGAAACCGUGAUAAGGGGACACCGAGUGCCAGCAUCCUAUGCUGGCUGUCCGGGUGUGUAAAAUACCCCUGUUAGCAAGGGCCGGGCAAGACCGGUGCCAGCCGCCGCGGUAACACCGGCGGCCCGAGUGGUGAUCGUGAUUAUUGGGUCUAAAGGGUCCGUAGCCGGUUUGGUCAGUCCUCCGGGAAAUCUGACAGCUUAACUGUUAGGCUUUCGGAGGAUACUGCCAGACUUGGAACCGGGAGAGGUAAGAGGUACUACAGGGGUAGGAGUGAAAUCUUGUAAUCCCUGUGGGACCACCUGUGGCGAAGGCGUCUUACCAGAACGGGUUCGACGGUGAGGGACGAAAGCUGGGGGCACGAACCGGAUUAGAUACCCGGGUAGUCCCAGCCGUAAACGAUGCUCGCUAGGUGUCAGGCAUGGCGCGACCGUGUCUGGUGCCGCAGGGAAGCCGUGAAGCGAGCCACCUGGGAAGUACGGCCGCAAGGCUGAAACUUAA
rnacentral:rRNA from 1 species